rnacentral:rRNA from 1 species
GAUGAACGCUCGCGGCAGGCCUAAUACAUGCAAGUCGAACGAGAUUAAGAGGCUUGCUUCUUAUGAAAGUGGCGCACGGGUGCGUAACGCGUAUGCAACCUACCCUAAUCAGGGGGAUAGCCCGAAUAAAUUCGGAUUAAGACCGCAUAUAAACACAGGAUAGCAUUAUCCAAUGUUCAAAUAUUUAUAGGAUUAAGAUGGGCAUGCGUGUCAUUAGCUAGUUGGCGGGGUAACGGCCCACCAAGGCGACGAUGACUAGGGGAUCUGAGAGGAUGACCCCCCACACUGGUACUGAGACACGGACCAGACUCCUACGGGAGGCAGCAGUAAGGAAUAUUGGUCAAUGGAGGGAACUCUGAACCAGCCAUGCCGCGUGCAGGAAGACAGCCCUCUGGGUAGUAAACUGCUUUUAUUCGGGAAUAAACCUUUCUACGUGUAGGAAGCUGAAUGUACCGAAGGAAUAAGGAUCGGCUAACUCCGUG